UUGUGAUCUCAUGCAACUAGUACUUAUUGCCUUAUAAAUCCCUAUAUAAAUAAAGUACUUUUUGWGGACAUUGGGGGGUCGUGAAGACWUUAUCAGUGAGUUUUUGUUCUCGGAAGGACUAGAUAUGAAUAUUGAAUAAUCAGACAUAGUACGAAAAGGUUGUAUGUCUAAAGGGAAACAGCCCAGAACAAGAGUUAAUAAGGUUCCAAAAUUAUUGUUAAGUGAAAUUGAGGCAGUAUUUAUUCUAAACAGCCAGGCAAUAGGCUUAGAAGCGGCCAUUUUCUGAAGACCUCGUAACAGAGCACUGGUUUUAUUUAUAAUAAGGAUAAAAGCACCGAUAAUUUAACGGAUCUAAACAAUAUACCGAGACCUUGUCUAAAUAUAUUAAUGUUUACAUACAUUACAUUGUAUAUUUAGGGUAGCAGAACGUUGGMUAGGUAUNUUNUUACGCCNUGAUAAGGCAUAGUAGGUAUAUAUGCCGUUACAAACCAAGNGANANUGCUGACAUGAGGAACGAUNNAGGGGUAUSCCCNCGCCUAAAGCNMAUGGAAUUKAAUNUANGUCACGGCCCCCUAAGUUUNUUAUAUCUUUAAUGA
rnacentral:rRNA from 1 species